UGCAUCUGAGGCCAGUGAGGAUGAGAACCUCCGGGGGCAGGAGGUUCGACUCGAGCGAAGCGAGAGAACGUUGCGUCAGCAACGGCCCGCAGGGCGAGCCACGAAGUGGUGAG
rnacentral:sRNA from 1 species